GCCUGGGUCGCUCAGUUGGUUAAGCGUCUGACUUCAGUUCAGGUCAUAAUCUCGCAGACCAUGGGUUCGAGCCCCGCAUCAGGCU
rnacentral:tRNA from 1 species